UCUCCGUUGGUGAACCAGCGGAGGGAUCAUUACAGAGUUGCAAAACUCCCCAAACCAUCGUGAACCUUUACCGCUAAACAGUUGCUUCGGCGGGUGGCCCGCGGGUGCGCGCGCGCAAGCCGCGCCCCCGGGGGCCGCCGAGCCCGCCGGAGGAAUCCAAAAAACCAUCGCUUUCAGUACCGGCCUCUCUGAGUUACUGUACUUUUAAUUAAGUCAAAACUUUCAACAACGGAUCUCUUGGUUCUG
rnacentral:misc_RNA from 1 species